AUUGAACGCUGGCGGCAUGCCUUACACAUGCAAGUCGAACGGUAACAGGUCUUCGGAUGCUGACGAGUGGCGAACGGGUGAGUAAUACAUCGGAACGUGCCCGAGAGUGGGGGAUAACGAAGCGAAAGCUUUGCUAAUACCGCAUACGAUCUCAGGAUGAAAGCAGGGGACCGCAAGGCCUUGCGCUCACGGAGCGGCCGAUGGCAGAUUAGGUAGUUGGUGGGAUAAAAGCUUACCAAGCCGACGAUCUGUAGCUGGUCUGAGAGGACGACCAGCCACACUGGGACUGAGACACGGCCCAGACUCCUACGGGAGGCAGCAGUGGGGAAUUUUGGACAAUGGGCGCAAGCCUGAUCCAGCCAUGCCGCGUGCAGGAUGAAGGCCUUCGGGUUGUAAACUGCUUUUGUACGGAACGAAAAGACUCCUUCUAAUAAAGGGGGUCCAUGACGGUACCGUAAGAAUAAGCACCGGCUAACUACGUGCCAGCCGCCGCGGUAA
rnacentral:rRNA from 1 species